GUUACUUCAAUUGUACUGGACAACGGACUUUAGUUAUUGGAUCUAUUUACCUACACGUGUAUUUACUUCAAUUGCAGCAUCAGGAAUUUUCUUUUUUUAUAUUGACAUCUGUCUGCCUUUUUAAUUAUGUAAGACAUCUGGUUACAUUCUCCUUCACCGUUCUUAGUCUAUGGUUCUUUCAGUUUCUCUGCCUUCCUCUCACUUACAUUCCUAUCUUCAGUACCAGUAUACUCCUCAGAUUUGCACAUGUAUCAUGGCUAAUUAGUGCAGAAUUAAACCCUUUUAUGGAAAAUUUAAGUUUCAUGUUGCCAUUUACCUUUUUGGGCUGCAGCAGAAAAAUUUGUAUCGGCUGAACAAAGGCUUUUCGAGAAGAAAGUCUUUACUUUGGUGAUUUUGAGGCCACUGUUCAAGACUUGGAUAAUUAUGUUGGGUAUUAUUGCCAUCCACACACUAAGGAUGCAAGGGGAAAGGACUUCUGGACAAGGUGAUACUAGCAUAGAAAGAAGCUCUGAUGACCUUGCUCGCAACUAUAUAAGGAUGCAAGAACUACACUUUGAUCCUGCACCAUAUGGUUCUGAUACAAAACUUAGUAAUCUUUUGUAAAAGCUGCAAAUCUGCUAAGUGAUGUUCCUAGAGAUGAUUCUGGUUGAAUCUAACUUUUGUCUGCACAGUUUAUGAGAGCUACACAUUCUCUUCGCAUGGAGUUUACUCUUCGCUCAAGGAUUCUGUUGACAAUGAUAUGACCAUUUAUAAUUCUUGGAGUUAUGCUUGAUGGAAAGCGAUUUUCAUCGAAGACGGCGGAGGAUAAUCAGGUGUUCAUACAGUGUAAGAAUGCCACUUGCUUAUCUUGUUCCUUUGUUCAUGUUAUAUUAUGGAAAGAACUAUUAGUGCCUAGGUCUCCAGGAUAUUGUAUGCAUGGUUGGUUUUCAAUAAAUAAAAAGAUCAAUGGGAAUUCUGUGUUUCUAGGAAUACUAUAGCUGUCUCUGGUUUGAUGUUGAUUCAAUAUGGUGGAACCAUCUCAAAGGCAGAGGGUUGAGCUUCCGUCUUUUCUUCUAAUCAUCCUAAAUCCUGAAGAGAAAUUUGUACAGGGGUUAAUGGCCCUUGUAGAUCGAUCCAUUUACAUCUUCUCAGUGUCCAUAUCAAAUCAUUUAUUGUUUUAAUGGACAGUAGGUUAAUCAUGCCUACUUAAUAACAUAAUGUAGAUAGUGGGACAGGCUUGCAACAACCAGAAGUAUUGUAAAAAAGAUGAAGUAACUUGAGUCUCUGGUCUGGUUGUUCGAGAGGCACCGUCCUUACUUCCUUAUUUGCCUUGUUGGCACAUAUUGUAAAGAAAACAACAUUAUGCCCAUGCUGCAUAAAAAAAUCUUUUGAUUAUAAAUACUUAUUUUGAUUAUAAUACAAAGCGUUGUGUUUA